rnacentral:rRNA from 1 species
CCCUUAGAUGUUCUGGGCCGCACGCGCGCUACAAUGAUGAAUUCAACGAGUUUAUAACCUUGGUUGAAAAGCCUGGGUAAUCUUUUGAACUUUCGUCGUGAUGGGGCUAGACCCUUGCAAUUAUUGGUCUCCAACGAGGAAUUCCUAGUAAACGCAAGUCAUCAGCUUGCAUUGAUUACGUCCCUGCCCUUUGUACACACCGCCCGUCGCACCUACCGAUUGAGUGGUCCGGUGAGGCUUUGGGAUCUGAGCGGAAAGAGCGUUUCGCUGUUUCUGCUCGGAAAGCUCAGUCGAACCUUAUCAUUUAGAGGAAGGAGAAGUCGUAACA